UCUAGAAUAAAAUUACUCCGCGCCAGAUACGCUACAGCUAAAUAAUUCAGAGGAGAUUACAAGUUCGAGAAACAUGGAAACAGAGCUGAAUAAUCAAAUGAAACUCUCGAAAAUUAUACGGAAAUGAUACCACCCAGUGAUUUUAAUGACUCUAAAAUAUGUUACCUGUUGAAUGACCGAAUAACUCUUUUUUAUACCUGCUUUGCUGCUCGGUUGUGAUCGAUCAAUAAUUUAUAAAAUUCUCCUGCGCUGAUAAUUUUGAUAAAUGCAAAGAUAUGUCGUUCUACAAUCAAAAUUUACAAAAAUCAGAAAAUGUCAAAAAAUUGAUUUAAUGAACCACUCAAUUAUUACACGAUAUAUUCAGAAGCUACAAAACAAGGGCUGUCUAACCUACAAAAAAACCGAAGAACCGAGUCAAAUCCUUUAACACGUUGACUGCCACGAGAAUAUCUAGCGUUUUGAAUAGUAAUACUCAUUCUUUAAUA